GGCAUGGCGGGUACACUGUGAAUGUCAGCCCAGAAGGUAAUCAGAGCAUGUUAAUUCAAAUAGAAAGAAGACAGAAGGGAAGGUAGACAUCAGGUUCUCCCUGGAGACUUUUCGUUUUCAUUUACGCUGCGGAAACUGACGUUUUUGCCUAACACGCCAUGUAAUGUAAACGUAUAGGCUUGAGUACGUGUCCGGCCGCAUGUGUAGUGAACCCUAAAGCUUUCCUAAUUGUAGUUAGCAUCGUCCCUAAGCGGAACGAUUUUCUGUGAACAUGAUUUGUACUUUUCUACGAGCCGUACAGUAUACGGAGAAGCUGCACAGGUCCUUGGCAAAGCGAUUGCUUUUGCCACACAUCGUGCUUAACAAAGCGUGCUUGAAGACUGAGCCCAGUUUGAGAUGUAGGCUUCAAUAUCAAAAGAAAACGGUGCUACCUAGAUGUAUUCUUGGAGUCACCCAGAAAACCAUUUGGACGCAGGGACCGAGCCCCGGAAAAGCAAAGGAGGAUAGCAGCAAACAAGUGUCUGUGCACAGGAGUCAGAGAGGGGGAACCGCCGUCCCAACAUCACAAAAAGUGAAAGAAGCUGGAAGAGAUUUUACCUAUUUAAUAGUGGUGCUUUUUGGAAUCAGCAUUACAGGUUGCAAAAAACAGCAAGUAUAAGCUCUUGAAUAUUUUUUAAGCUGGCCUUUUUAUGUUGCCCUUGCUUUGCUUCAUCUUUGUUUUGUGUGAUUUCAGGUGGCUUGUUUUACACGAUUUUCAAAGAACUUUUUUCUUCAUCCAGUCCUAGCAAGAUAUAUGGGAGAGCCUUAGAAAAAUGCAGAUCACAUCCUGAGGUGAUCGGUGUCUUUGGUGAGUCUAUU
rnacentral:sRNA from 1 species